UGACAGCCACGGCUGCCAUUAUUUCUUAGCUGUCAGUCACCAGAUUAGGCAUUUUCCAUGCGUUUUAUUUCCUUUAUUAUUCACAACAAUGGUUGCUAAGUCUCAAUUAUUUGACCUUGAAUAAGAUACUUAAUUUCUCUGUGCUCCAGUUUCCUCAUUUUUAAAACAGGGAUAAAAUUCCAGCCUCCCAGAGUGGUUGGGAAGAUUGGGUAUAAUCGAAUGAGCAUCUACGCUAGGCAAUUAAUAUACAGUUAUUCAGUUUCAGGGGCAAAAUUUAUAUUAUAUGGGAUAUUAUAAAAUCCCACUUUCCUCUCCACCUCUAGGCAAGGCAGUUAAGGCAUAAAUAAUAUUUUAGACAGUCAUAUGUUUUGGUAAGGGGGCAGUGGACCACAUUAGCCUGCUAAAUCCCUAAUGACUCUCCAGGGCAGCUUCUUAUCAAGAUGAAAUGGAAUUUGAUGCUCCAUGCACGCAAAGGCUCAGGUAAUUUGAAUCUGGUGUUUAAUCCAAUAUGAACAUCCUUUGUAUAAAAUCUCUGCCAUCACCACUUUAGGAAAAUUAAUAUUUAUAUCAAACAUCUUCUGUAAUGAGAUAUGAACUUUUGCCCACCAAAAUUCUAGCUCAGAUUUUAGAUUUGUGUGCUCCCAUAGUCAGGUUUCUGAAUAAUUUAUUUAUCCAAUUGAAGAAAUAAAGUAGACGAACAAUUUCAAAGGAGACAUUGAAUCAAAGCAGUUGGCUAAUUAUUCUCAUUUCAAGGUAUCCUGGAUUAGGGAAAAAAAAAAAGACUCUGAAAUCAAGCAUGCCUCAUAGGUCAUUUUGAGUAUUAGUUAUGUUUACAAAGCUCCUUAUAGGAUAAAUCAUGGAAAGUACGGGACAUAAUAUGAUUAUAUUUGGGGACCAAGUAUUUAUAUUUGAGAAGAAAAUGUAGCAGUUCACUAGGAUAAUUAACUCUUUUAGAACAGUCUCUAUCUUCUUUAUGUUCUUCUCUUUUCUGUCAUACUGUCCCCCCUUUCUCUAGCUAACUAGCUCUUACCCUUUAAGAUUAGGUGUGACCUCCUCCAGGAAGCCUUCCUGACCUCCAGUCAGGCUAUUUCAAAAUAAUUAGUAUAUGUGCAUCUCUGCCUCACUGAACUAUAGCCCCCUCAGGGACUGAGCAAAGUGUUCUUUCCAACAUUAUUUACCAGGCACAGUGAUUGUCACAUAUUAGGUGUUCCAUAAGCAUCGACUUAAUGAAAAUAAAUCCUGGGACAUUAGGCCUCACUGUUGCAUUGUGUUUGAGGAGGUACGUGUUGUCACAGAACUGUUGGAACAACAGCUACAAUCAUAGCCCUUGCAGUUACUAGUUCUUCCAUGCUGAAGGAUGACAGGCACAAUGGAGUCCUCACCUGCCUUUCUUGGCAAAGUUCCUGAAUGUGGUUGCUGAGAGGAUUUUAGUCUUUUCUCUGCAGUGAGAAUGUGGGCUGAAUUCACAUUUUUAAAGCACUCUUAUAGCCCGCAAAGUGUCUAUUUCAGUAUAAGUGCAUUGUAAUAAUACCUUACUUGAACGCAUAUUCUAAUACAGUUACUUAUCAUUCUACCCGUCUGUCUCCUCCAUCGUCUUGACUCAUUUUUGAAUCACCACUGUUUAGCACAGUGCCUGGCACUUAGGAGGCACACUGCCAACAGGCUAUGAAUGAAUGAGUGAAUGAAUGGACUACCUAGUGCCUUCCCUUCAGCUCUCACCUGACUUAUACAGCAGCACUGUGAGGCUGAUAGGACAAGAGUGAUACCAUUUCAUAGAUGCAGAAUCUGGCCAUCAGAAAGAUUCGAAAACUUGCUCCUGAUCUCACAGCUGAUAAAGGUGGGACCAAGACUCACACGGAGGACCUCCAGUGCUUGAGCUAUGUCCCUAACUCACAGCUUCCUCUACAAUUUAUAAUAGACUGGUAUGUACUGAUAAUUGAAAGGAUGAGGGGGCCUACUAAGAUACUUUUCUGAGGACAGAAAGAGUAAUCAUUGUAACAGUAAUAGCUAUUUAUUGAGUCCUUAAGAUGAGUACUCAAUAAAUGCCAAACACUUCAUAUAAGUCAUCCUAACAAACUAAUAUACUGCUAAGCAGCUAUUAUCGUUACUUGCAUUUUAUACAUGAAGAAACCAAGACACAGAAUAUUUAUGAAACCUGUGCAUCAUCACAGAGCUAGUGCAUCGUACAGACAUGGUUUGAACCUGGGUGGUUUGGUUCAAAGCUCCUAUACUUUCCCAUUCUGCUAUACUUCCUCCCCUAAAAGACCAGUUUUCUUUUAAAUUGUCAUUGUUUUCUAGCAGGUCUUGCUCUGUGAGCAGUUUUGACCUUGGACAAAUUACCUGUCUUACCUGGGCGUCUGCUUCCUGAUUUGUAAAAUGAAGAAAUUAGUAUCUACCUUUUGGAAUUGCUGUGAGAAUUAAAUGAUGUCAUCUGACCUCUUUGCAGAAUAUACGUCUAUAAAGUGUCCUUUUCUCAGUGGAAUACACAAAAUGGAUAAACUAAAAAAAUGUUGGAAAGCAGCAAGGAAGAACUAGAGAGGCGUUGGGACUGUCAGGAUUGGAAGUCAGCAUUCUUGUUUGGGCCUGACUCCUCUUGCUCCACCCUGGCUCUGUGACCUUGAAUAGAGCAUAUAUGGGGGCCAAGUCUCCAUUUCUUCUCCAGCAAAAGACAGCAGUUGUAACUUUGUAAAAAUCGACUCACAAAAUCUUUUGCACUGUAUAAAUGUGAGUUCUUAUUGUGUUGAAUUCCCAAGAAUAUUUAGCAUCUUUUGAAAAAUAUUUGUAUUGCAUUUAGAACCAGGAAUUUUUAAAGACAUGAAGUCAAUGCCAGGGUAACCUUAUGAAUGACAACAAUUGGAGGUCUUAUGGAGGUCUGCCUGAUAUUUAUUGAGUACUUACUAUAUAAUGAAAUAUACUAUAUGUUUUGUAUGUAUUAUCAUAUUUCCUAAUGUUCAUGAGUACUUUAAAACGAGACAAUGCCAGCAAUCUUGAAUAACACAUACACGUUACAAUUAUUUUUUUGUUUGUUUGUUUUUGAGAUGGAGUCUUGCUCUGUCACCCAGGCUGGAGUGCAGUGGCACAAUCUCGGCUCACUGCAAACUCCACCUCCUGGGUUCAAGCCAUUCUCCUGCCUCAGCCUCCCCAGUAGCUGGGAUUACAGGCAUGCAUCACCACACCCAGCUAAUUUUCGUAUUUUUAGUAGAGGCGAGGUUUCACCAUGUUGGCCAGGCUGGUCUCGAACUCCUAACCUCAUGAUCCACCCACCUCGGCCUCCCAAAGUGCUGGGAUUACAGGCAUGAGUCACCACGCCCAGCCUUAAGAUGGAUUUUUAAAAAGAUACAAAACCCAUGUUAAUGUGGUAAGUCAAAGCAACACAUAACUGGAGAAAAAUGCCCAGUUUUCCUCAGUAAGUAUGUAUUGAGUCAUCCAGUCUGUCAUUACUGGAUGACUGCAAAGAGGAAUAAAGCAAGUCCAUGCCCUCAAGAAGCUCACCAUCUGCCCAGAAUGUAAUGAGAGCUGAAUGAGGCCCUUCAAGUGCUUGGAGAGCUCAGCAAAAAUAACUGGUCUUGGAGUCUAGGGAAUCAUUAAUUUUAAUGGCAAAAACUGUAAUUACUUUUGCAACAACCUAAUAGUUCAAGAAGAUUUGGCAUUUCACUUGAAACUUCAAGGUUUAAUAGAAUUUGCCCUUGAAGUUUUUGGCAACAGGCUUCUUUCACUUUUGUUAAAUCCAGUAGAAACCCCACAUAGGUCAAUAGGUGAUGAAUACCAAAUCCACUGGGGCCCAAACAGGGCACUCCUCCAUAAGACAGACCUCCAUAAGACAAUUGCUUUCACCAUCCACUUGUAAAGAUUUUACUCCCAUCUCACAUUUAUGGGAAGUUCUUUUUUUUUUUUUUUAUACUUUAAGUUUUAGGGUACAUGUGCACAUUGUGCAGGUUAGUUACAUAUGUAUAUAUGUGCCAUGCUGGUGCGCUGCACCCACUAACUCGUCAUCUAGCAUUAGGUAUAUCUCCCAAUGCUAUCCCUCCCCCCACCCCCCAC
rnacentral:lncRNA from 10 species